GCGCGGAUGGUGGAACUGGCAGACACGCCAGACUAAGGAUCUGGUCCCCGAAAGGGGAUGGGAGUUCAAGUCUCCCUCCGCGCACCA
rnacentral:tRNA from 1 species